rnacentral:antisense_RNA from 1 species
UUAACUCAGUCUGACUGGAAGAAUUUAGGACCACUGCAUCCUGUCUUAAUCCAAGGGUGGAUCCUUAGGGUGUUGACUGCUGCAGUUUCAAGCUUACAUCUGCACCCUGCAGAAUCCAGAGGAAGAGACAAUGCCUGUUCCAGUGGCUCUCAAGAAAUUCUUUUCCAGCCAGGCAUGGUGGCUCAGGCCUGUAAUCCCAGCACUUUGGUAGGCUAAGUACUGGACUGGUUUUGAUGCUUUCACCAGUAACAGAAGCUCAAGCUGUGCUCAACUGACCCCCAAGGAUCCAGCCUGUCUCUGGGAUUCUCUAGGCCGUCCCGGAACUCCUACCAUGACCAGGGAAGUGUAGGGUUGGGGUUUGGCCCUAGACCUCUUAUCUAUCCACCUGCAAAGCCGUUUUAGUAACAGAUUUGGAAGCAAAGUAAGGUUUUUGAUGGCAGCUUGGUCACCAGCACUUCACUUAGGAACCAGUGCUGGGGAAGCGGGUGGGACAAUUUCUGAGUGUCUCCUGGGACAGACAUAUAGGCCAUCGCUCCACUAGGGGCAUGGAGGGUAUGUGUG